AUUGAACGCUGGCGGCAUGCUUUACACAUGCAAGUCGAACGGUAACAGGCCGCAAGGUGCUGACGAGUGGCGAACGGGUGAGUAAUGCAUCGGAACGUGCCCAGUCGUGGGGGAUAACGCAGCGAAAGCUGCGCUAAUACCGCAUACGAUCUCUGGAUGAAAGCGGGGGACCGAAAGGCCUCGCGCGAUUGGAGCGGCCGAUGUCAGAUUAGGUAGUUGGUGGGGUAAAGGCCCACCAAGCCAACGAUCUGUAGCUGGCCUGAGAGGACGACCAGCCACACUGGGACUGAGACACGGCCCAGACUCCUACGGGAGGCAGCAGUGGGGAAUUUUGGACAAUGGGCGCAAGCCUGAUCCAGCAAUGCCGCGUGCAGGAAGAAGGCCUUCGGGUUGUAAACUGCUUUUGUACGGAACGAAACGGCUCUGGUUAAUACCUGGGGCUAAUGACGGUACCGUAAGAAUAAGCACCGGCUAACUACGUGCCAGCCGCCGCAGUAAUAC
rnacentral:rRNA from 1 species